AUUGAACGCUGGCGGCAUGCCUUACACAUGCAAGUCGAACGGUAACAGGUUAAGCUGUCGAGUGGCGAACGGGUGAGUAAUGUAUCGGAACGUGCCCAGUCGUGGGGGAUAACUGCUCGAAAGAGCAGCUAAUACCGCAUACGACCUGAGGGUGAAAGCGGGGGAUCGCAAGACCUCGCGCGAUUGGAUCUGCCGAUAUCCGAUUAGGUAGUUGGUGAGGUAAAGGCUCACCAAGCCGACGAUCUGUAGCUGGUCUGAGAGGACGACCAGCCACACUGGGACUGAGACACGGCCCAGACUCCUACGGGAGGCAGCAGUGGGGAAUAUUGGACAAUGGGCGAAAGCCUGAUCCAGCCAUGCCGCGUGCGGGAAGAAGGCCUUCGGGUUGUAAACCGCUUUUGUCAGGGAAGAAAAGGUUCUGGCUAAUACCUGGGACUCAUGACGGUACCUGAAGAAUAAGCACCGGCUAACUACGUG
rnacentral:rRNA from 1 species